UACCCAUUCUCUGGUUUUUGUUCUCGAAACAGACGACAGGUCAUUCAUUCUCUCUCUCUCUCUCUCUCUCUCUCUCUCUCUCUCUCUCUCUCUCUCUCUCUCUCUCUCUCUCUCUCUCUCUCUUCCCUAAUGCCAUUUCUUUUGCGAUCCUCUUUUCCAGGGGCCUCCCCAAGUCCACAGUGCAUUUCACCUGGGGUGAGGCUCACCUCUCCGGGCCGCAGUCACCAUGCAGACUGCUCUCUUUCCUGUGUACCUUGUUUUUUUUUCCGCUCUCUCUGUGCAUCCCACGAGGCGCUGCACUAACUGAUGGAAUGCACGCAGGUGCCAGAGAGGUAUUGGAAGCGCCAUGCAGAAAGCUUUACUAAAAAGAGCCAGAUUUGCAGUCUCCUAUCCUGGCUCCAACCGUAAGCAGGGACAAGGAAGUGAAAGGACCUCUCUUUGGAACAAAUGUCUGUGCUGGAUCUGGCCUCUGAGCAAGAAGAAGCCCAGAGGACCCCUUGUAGGACAACGGAGAAUUUGCCUGUUUGCCUGGUGUCUAUCUACGAUCCCUAAGGGCUGCUGCUACUGAACAUCUUGAGUCGGUUCACCUUGAUUGUUACAAUGAAACCACCGAGUGAUUCUCCAAGGUCAUUGAUUGCUGAGGAUAAAACGUAAUUCUCCAACUUCCGGGUUUUCAGAUUUUUCUGAGGACUUUGAUUCCAGAUGGCCGAAAGAAGCAAUUCCUUCUGGCCCUACCAGGGUAGAAUUAUAUAAGUUAACAAAGAGAGUAUACUGCUGUGAUGGUUUGUAUAUCCUUGGACCAGGGAGUGGCACCAUCUGAAGGUGUGGCCUUGUUGGAAUGGGUGUGUCACUGUGGGUGUGGGUAUAAGAUCCUCACCCUAGAUGCCUGGAAGUCAGUCUUCCACUAGCAGUCUUUGGAUGAAUACAUAGAACUCUCAGCUCCUCCUGCACCAUGCCUGCCUGGAUGCUGCCAUGCUCCCUCCUUGAUGAUAAUGGACUGAACCUCUGAACCUGUAAGCCAGCCCCAAUUAAAUGUUGUUUUAUUAAGACUUGCCUUGGUCAUGAAGUCUGUUCACAGCAGUAAAACCCUAACUAAGACAACUGCUAUCACAGUCACCUAUCAAAAGGUUUCCUGGGCUGGAGAGAUGACUCAGAAGUUAAGAGCACUGACUGCUCUUCCAGAGGUCCUGAGUUCAGUUCCCAGCAACCACAUGGUGGCUCACAACCAUCUGUAACGGGAAUCCGAUGCCCUCUUCUGGUGUGUCUGAGGACAGCAACAGUAUACUAAUACAUAAAAAAAGAAAAUAAAAAGGAUUCCUGUUCAAUGUAUUUGUGAGAUUAGUGAGGGGCUAACAAAUACCGGGGUAUGGUAAAUAAUCAUGAGAUGGACACAGGGAUCAAACUUUACAGAUAUGAGUAAGAGUGAGGUCAGAAGCCCAUCGAUUGCCAGGUAGGGAAUAUUUGGUAAACCCGAGGAGCCUGGUUGUCUAUGGCAGUGAAAAUAGAAGUCAGGAUGCAGAGAUGAAGACAGCGGGCUCAGUGGGUAAAGGUGCUUGCUACCCAGCCGGAUGGUCCAAGUUUGAUCACUGAGACCCACAACGCAGAAGGAUAGAAUUCACUCGUAACAGUCGUCUUCUGACCUCCACAGUGCACGGCAGCAUGUGCCUCCUGCCAACAAUGAAAGAAUCAAUGAUUGUGCUUAUUGUAAAAGACGAAAGAAGAGAGAAGAAGGAAGCACUCUCUAGGUAUAAAACAUGCAGAUACAAGUACAGAAAUAGGGUAAAACCGAACUUUUGCUGUUAUCAAGGUUCUGUUACCUGUUAGACGAAACCAGGUACCAUCACUGGCCAAAUUCUUCCAUUUCUGUUAUUUACCCCAUCUCUUAGUAAUUUACACAGAAGGUGACUGGACUAUAUGUAGGUGGAACAUUUGGCAUAAUUACAGAUAUUUUUUGAUGUCUUGGAUAGUCGCAUUUCUUUCCUUAUAUUCUGGGGCAUCUCCCAACUUUCCCUCUUCCCUACCCCAGUACCGUACAACUAAAUACAUAAAUUCAAGAAAAAGGGUGAAAAAGAUUUAUAAGUCUUAGUGUGUGUCUUAGGGUUUCUGUUGCUGUGAGCAAAUACCAUGAU